CCUCGAUGCAAGUGCGCAGCAAUGUUCCGUGCGCGAGCAGCGUGUGCUUUAUUUGUGUCUUUUCGACUUUUGUGCGGUUGACCAUGGCCCAAGUACGUAUAUACUAGGCAGAACUGUACAGUUGCGUGCUGAAAUUUAGAGCUGUGCUUCUGACUGCUAUUUGUGGUACGUUUGUUCGCCUUGCGGAGCGCUUACGGGAAUGUUCUGGAGGCAAUGUUUUGAUGGUUAAUUUUCGCACAUGUUUGUAUCGCUUGGUUUCCAGCGUUCCUCUUCAAUGGUCAGGGAUAUUUCUCAUUUGCAAUGCCUAUCUCUAAGUCUCUGGCAGCAUUAUGUUAUUGGCACUUUUGUGAUCUGAGAAGCUGCCUGACCAAGUUGCCUAUCAAGAUGAACAUUCCAUCUCUGGAUUCUGCUUGCGUGGAAUUUAUUUUACCAUAUAUUUUUCAAUGCAGCUAGAAAGUACUGGCUUUCUAUCUUGAAUCCGGUGGCCCCAGAAGCAGGUGCUGGCAAGCAGGCCAUGCACUUUUGGUCAUUAAUUAAUCCGCGUUUAACCUGUUUGUAUACAGCGAGAACAUGUAAUGAAUAAUUUCAUACAUGUGCGUGGCUGGGGGCCGAUCAUUUUUGUAAUAAAGCUUUAUCAGUUGUAUAAAUAAAAAAGUAACAUUGGUAUGACA